rnacentral:rRNA from 1 species
GACGAACGCUGGCGGCGUGCCUAAUACAUGCAAGUAGAACGCUGAAGGAGGAGCUUGCUUCUCUGGAUGAGUUGCGAACGGGUGAGUAACGCGUAGGUAACCUGCCUGGUAGCGGGGGAUAACUAUUGGAAACGAUAGCUAAUACCGCAUAAUAGUAGAUGUUGCAUGACAUUUACUUAAAAGGUGCAAUUGCAUCACUACCAGAUGGACCUGCGUUGUAUUAGCUAGUUGGUGGGGUAACGGCUCACCAAGGCGACGAUACAUAGCCGACCUGAGAGGGUGAUCGGCCACACUGGGACUGAGACACGGCCCAGACUCCUACGGGAGGCAGCAGAAGGGAAUCUUCGGCAAUAGACGAAAGUCUGACCGAGCAACGCCGCGUGAGUGAAGAAGGUUUUCGGAUCGUAAAGCUCUGUUGUAAGAGAAGAACGAGUGUGAGAGUGGAAAGUUCACACUGUGACGGUAUCUUACCAGAAAGGGACGGCUAACUACGUG